rnacentral:lncRNA from 1 species
GGCUGAUGAAGUUGCAGGCAUUCAGUUUUCACUGGGAAUGUCCUCCAGACGGAUGUGUAAGAAGGCCAGGGUCAGGCUUCAGGAGCACCUAGGCGGGUUCACACUUGACACCUGUCACUCAUCACUCACCCGCCAGCCCACUGCGUGGUCAACGUAAGGCUGUCUCCUUGCGGAGACUGGCUCAGCACUGAAGUAAUGGAGCUGUCUUUCUGUCUGUCUGGCUUGUGGUUUA